CAGUUCUAUUUUACAUCAAGAAUCUGACAGAAAGAAUCUAAGGACGACUGAAUGUAUCGUUUCUGUACUUCGUUUUACUGUUGCUCUUGAGGGAUUGUAUCUAGUUCAAUUCAAGAAGGAAUAUACUGAUCUACAUGCUUUCAUUCUACGGAAUCAAGGAAGAAUUGAAGUCUGCAGUGAAGGAAACACUUGGAAGGAGAAAUUAUACCGACACGCGUAGAAUUUGAAGCCUGAUAAAACCCCAACAGAAGACAUUUGGAUCAGCGUGCGAGAAAACCAAAACCACCAUCAAAUGGAAGAUUUGAAUUGACAAGCUUGAGACAUAAAUGUAUUUCGUAGAAUAUUCUCGUGUGCCUUUUGAAAUAGAUGUUUUAAGCUUUUAUAAAAUCCUCAUAUUAAGUUUCGAAUCCAUUAUCUGGUCGUAACAUUUCACCAGAGACCACAUUUUGAAAUUUUCGAUUUCAACGUAUGUCAAGCAAUUUCAUCUGAGCUGAAAACUUUAGAAAGGUGGAUAUCGAGAUUAAUGGGUGAUCCUCGCUU